rnacentral:rRNA from 1 species
UACGUAGGUGGCGAGCGUUGUCCGGAUUUACUGGGCGUAAAGAGCGCGCAGGCGGCUGGUCAAGUCCGAUGUGAAAGCUCCCGGCUUAACUGGGAAAUUGCAUCGGAAACUGAUCGGCUGGAAGGUGGGAGAGGGUAGCGGAAUUCCCGGUGUAGCGGUGAAAUGCGCAGAUAUCGGGAGGAACACCGGUGGCGAAGGCGGUUCUCUGGGCCUGUACUGACGCUGAGGAGCGAAAGCGUGGGGAGCGAACAGG